UCCGUAGGUGAACCUGCGGAAGGAUCAUUAUCGUUGGGGCUUCGGCCCCGUCGAGAUAGUACCCUUGCCAUUUAUUAGCGUACCUGUUCGUUUCCUCGGUGGGCUCGCCCGCCAAUGGGGACCAAAACUUAACUCUUGUAUCAUUGUCAUUUAGUCUGAAUAAAAAUUAAAAAUUAAAACUUUCAACAACGGAUCUCUUGGUUCUGGCAUCGAUGAAGAACGCAGCGAAAUGCGAUAAGUAGUGUGAAUUGCAGAAUUCAGUGAAUCAUCGAAUCUUUGAACGCACAUUGCGCCCCAAGCCUUCUGGCCGAGGGGCACGUCUGCCUGGGUGUCACAAAUCGUCGUCCCCCCAUCCUUCUUGGAUGGUGGACGGAAACUGGUCUCCCGUGUGUUACCGCAUGCGGUUGGCCAAAAUCCGAGCUUAGGACGCUUGGAUCGUCUCGACAUGCGGUGGUGAAACAAAAGCCUAUUCGUUAAGUCGGUCGGUCCUGUCCAUAGUGAGCUCCCGAUGACCCAAAGUUCUCAACGCGACCCCAGGUCAGGCGGGAUCACCCGCUGAGGUUUAAGCAUAUCAAUAAGGCGGGAGGGGGAAGGUCGGACUGGCCAAGGGCACACAGGGGGGGAUA
rnacentral:rRNA from 1 species